rnacentral:rRNA from 1 species
UACGUAGGGUGCAAGCGUUAAUCGGAAUUACUGGGCGUAAAGCGUGCGCAGGCGGUUAUGUAAGACAGAUGUGAAAUGCCCGGGCUUAACCUGGGAACUGCAUUUGUGACUGCAUGGCUAGAAUCUGGCAGAGGGGGGUAGAAUUCCACGUGUAGCAGUGAAAUGCGUAGAUAUGUGGAGGAACACCGAUGGCGAAGGCAGCCCCCUGGGUCAAGAUUGACACUCAUGCACGAAAGCGUGGGGAGCAAACAGG